UUUUCAGUUGAUUCAUUGCUUUCAACUUCAAUACCUUUUACUGAAGGUCCAAGUGCACCCUCUUUCUCGCCAUCUUCUAGCACUUCACUCUCAUUUUCUUGUCUCUAGAUCUCCUUUAAAACUGAAAAUUUAUCAAACCCAGAUGAAUUUUCAAGCUUAACAAAAGGGGUAUCUUUCAAAGUGGAAUGCUUUAUGAUUUUUGCUGAAUCGUUACUGGUGGAAGUACUCGAGCUCUCUACAGUUAUGGGUUUAUGACCACCAAAUUAACAAAUGAUUUAUUGAAUUGACAAAUGGAUUUCCCAAUGAGUUGAAGGGUUGGAUUUGAUGAUCCAAGCAAAAAAGCAAAUCAGGAAGAUAAAAGAAGAACAUACUGUGAAAGAAAACACCUAAAUCUUGUAGAUUCGAAGGAAAAACUUCUGUCUCUCCAUCAAUGUGGUUCAUCAACAAAAUGCUUCAAAAUACAGUAAAAGAACAGUUAUUCUAUGAAAUUUGAUAGAGAGGACUUAUCCCUUUAUGCAUUUAUUGGUGCGUAUGUCGAUGGAGCAAAUUUUUCAAAAAGACAGCAAAACAAUUGAUCAUCUGAAGAGACCUUAGAUAAUGUGGAGUGGUUUGCCGGUAAAGGAAAACUUACCACCAUUCUGGUGGAAGAACCCAAGGGAAGAGUAGGGGACGACGAAGAAGAGACAUAGAGCUAAAGAGUUAAAGGUAGGAGUUUAUUUUUGGCUAGGUGAAAAUUAUCUUACUUACUCCCCUAAACGGCAUAAGGCAAUUAACAAUUUACCCAUUGACUUGUAAAAUCUUUUUCAUUUGAAUUUCAAUUUCAAUCAUUCAAGCAAAACUUAAUUUUGAAAACAUUUUUUGGAAAAUUUUUUACACAAACUUUAAAUUCCAGCUAAACUCCAUUAGCACCUAACAGUUCCUAAUUUGGGUUUUCUUCCUAACACUACCUUGAUCAAUCAUUUGCAGUGUCUUACCUCAUAAACUCAUGUGAGUUGUCUUUAAAAUCUGCUAAAUCAGUUGUGAGAAAGCAGAUUCAGUCGUCAACCUUCUCAAAAAAUAUGGGCUCAACAAUGCUCAAAUUCCCAGGUAGUGAAGAAGGACCCAAAGGUGCCUGGAAAGAUUUUGUCCAAGCUUGAGUUGUUAGGCCACCUAGCACUGCCGUGGCCAAUAUCGUGUCAUGAUUUCCUGAAAAGUGUGCUUCCUGAUGGUGUAAAAGAGGUUAAACCAUUGAGGCGGUCACAGUCUGCUUUACUGAAACAGCUGCAGAAUAAUUUGAUACCAAACAUAAAGCUUUUGAGAGAAAUUGGGGUCCCUCAAUCUUCCAUCUCUGUCCUAACCAAUGUAAAUCAUGCAGUAUUUGCCAAACCCAGGCAGACUUGACCACAACGCCACAAAAACUCUAAUCUAACUCUUCAUUAGUCUUUGUUUUGUUUUUAUUUAUGCCAGUAAUCCACCCCUUAAGAUCAACUGUGAAGAAGAAUUCAGGUGACAAGAAAAAAAUAAAAGAAGCUUACACAUAUCCCUUCCAAAUUCUGAUAUUCACCACUCUCCAAUCUUCUACUACAUUUUUCUGGACACUGGAAUUCAAUAUCAGACGAAUACCCA
rnacentral:lncRNA from 1 species